AAUAAAGAUGGAAGAUCACCAAAGCUUUUACUGUUUGCUGUCAAUCAGUCAGCAUCAGUCAAAGGAAGAUGUUGAAACAAGACUCAAACAAUACAACAACAGUCUGACCACCAAACAACAGAUUCUAAAAAGGCCUCUCUCAACUCUGCUCUUUUCAGUUAAUGACAGCAGCAGCUCUACUUGAAAAUUUCAUAACCUCUAUCACUUAAACAGGACACCAGGAAGAAAAAAGAAAUGAAAAUUAGAAUAUGAUGGAACUCCAGAGCUAUCGUUUGCCAUCAAGCUUUAUUGUCUCCAACUACCUCCCUUUGGCAACAACGGCAAAAAUCAGAUCAUCGAAUUUCUCAGUCUUCCCCAGCAAUACCUCAAUCUAUAACAAUGUUAACAAGGGAACAUGAUAGGCAACAACCCAAGUUGGGCUUACUCUUCUCAAUAGCCAGCCCUUUUUUCUUCAGAAUCUCUGCAACUGUGACGGCUGUUGUGAGC